AGAGUUUGAUCCUGGCUCAGAUUGAACGCUGGCGGCAUGCUUUACACAUGCAAGUCGAACGGCAGCGCGGGGCAACCUGGCGGCGAGUGGCGAACGGGUGAGUAAUAUAUCGGAACGUACCCAGAAGUGGGGGAUAACGUAGCGAAAGUUACGCUAAUACCGCAUACGAUCUACGGAUGAAAGUGGGGGACCUUCGGGCCUCAUGCUUUUGGAGCGGCCGAUAUCUGAUUAGCUAGUUGGUAGGGUAAAGGCCUACCAAGGCGACGAUCAGUAGCUGGUCUGAGAGGACGACCAGCCACACUGGAACUGAGACACGGUCCAGACUCCUACGGGAGGCAGCAGUGGGGAAUUUUGGACAAUGGGCGCAAGCCUGAUCCAGCAAUGCCGCGUGAGUGAAGAAGGCCUUCGGGUUGUAAAGCUCUUUUGUCAGGGAAGAAACGGUCUAGGUUAAUACCUUGGGCUAAUGACGGUACCUGAAGAAUAAGCACCGGCUAACUACGUGCCAGCAGCCGCGGUAAUACGUAGGGUGCAAGCGUUAAUCGGAAUUACUGGGCGUAAAGCGUGCGCAGGCGGUUUUGUAAGUCUGUCGUGAAAGCCCCGGGCUCAACCUGGGAAUUGCGAUGGAGACUGCAAGGCUUGAAUCUGGCAGAGGGGGGUAGAAUUCCACGUGUAGCAGUGAAAUGCGUAGAGAUGUGGAGGAACACCGAUGGCGAAGGCAGCCCCCUGGGUCAAGAUUGACGCUCAUGCACGAAAGCGUGGGGAGCAAACAGGAUUAGAUACCCUGGUAGUCCACGCCCUAAACGAUGUCUACUAGUUGUCGGGUUUUAAUUAACUUGGUAACGCAGCUAACGCGUGAAGUAGACCGCCUGGGGAGUACGGUCGCAAGAUUAAAACUCAAAGGAAUUGACGGGGACCCGCACAAGCGGUGGAUGAUGUGGAUUAAUUCGAUGCAACGCGAAAAACCUUACCUACCCUUGACAUGGAAGGAAGUCCGGAGAGAUCUGGAUGUGCCCGAAAGGGAACCUUCACACAGGUGCUGCAUGGCUGUCGUCAGCUCGUGUCGUGAGAUGUUGGGUUAAGUCCCGCAACGAGCGCAACCCUUGUCAUUAGUUGCUACAUUUAGUUGAGCACUCUAAUGAGACUGCCGGUGACAAACCGGAGGAAGGUGGGGAUGACGUCAAGUCCUCAUGGCCCUUAUGGGUAGGGCUUCACACGUCAUACAAUGGUACAUACAGAGGGCCGCCAACCCGCGAGGGGGAGCUAAUCCCAGAAAGUGUAUCGUAGUCCGGAUUGUAGUCUGCAACUCGACUACAUGAAGUUGGAAUCGCUAGUAAUCGCGGAUCAGCAUGUCGCGGUGAAUACGUUCCCGGGUCUUGUACACACCGCCCGUC
rnacentral:rRNA from 1 species